CUGUUUUCAAACUUGACAACUUCAGGUUCUUCAAGCAGUAACUGUUGAGGCUGAUCACACUGUGAGCUGUUCAUGGUUUCUUGUGUAUCUAUAGUCUUUGCUUCAUAUGUGGAGGUGGUGGUUCCUUCAUUACUGUCUGAGCUAUCAGGUUUAAUAUCUUUCUUGACAAAAUCUUCUACUGGUUGAAGAGCAAAUGAUGUUGCAGUUAUUGGUGCAGAAUCCGACAUCCGUUCUGCUAUACUCAGUUCAUGUUUCUGAAAUUCUUUGCCACUUGCUGCACUGGGGUGUGCUAAAGCUGACUGAAAUUGGGAAACGGCUUCAACAUUAUGAAGAGCACCAUAUUUACUACAUUUGGGGAAUUCUUCCUCCUGAUUUUCCAAUCCUUGGAUCUUCUUGUCUUCUUCUAGCACUUCAGCACUUUCAACCACAGUAUCUUCUGUUAUAGUUUUACAGGCUCAUCGUCGACGACAACCUCCUUACUCUCGUCAUCAAGAUAACCACUGAUAAUUGAUUCAGUUGAUGAUGUAGUCUCUCCAACUAGAUUAUCACCCACCACUGUUGACACUCCGUUUUGUCCUUCUAGGUUUUCAACUGUAUCUCCUCCAACUACAUUAUCACUCGCCCCUGCAACUUCUUGAGUACAAGAUUCCUCCUUGUGUUCUGGCAGACCUUCAAUGUUUUCCUCUAACAACAUGGCGGGAUUUGCAGUGGUAUUUUCUUCAUUUUUCUCUGUAGUUUCGUGCUCAAGUUGUCUGAAUUGCUCAUCAGAUGAUGAAGUAUCCUUGUUGCUUGUUAUAUCUUCAGUUGUGGUGCCGACAUGGGCAACUGUUUCUGCAGAAUUUGUGGCUGUUUCAGUUCCAUUGUCCUCCUGUGUUUCAUCACCUGUGCCAGAUUAGUUGCUUUUAUUAGUCGAGCUUAUAGUGCUGAAGGUAAAAGCAAUUACUGCUGAGAAAUGCUUAACUGCCUAUGUUUCUAGUGGACAAUUAUACAUUCUGAAGUUCAAGUAUAGUUAUUCAUAGAAACAUAAUGUACUUCUAGGUGGGUAGCCGUGCAUCGCUCGAUGCAGAGCCAGAGGAUUUUCCCCUCUUUUCGAAAAAACAUUUGGUGGGCGGCUAGGUAGUUUUGAACUGUGGAUUUUUCUUACUACCUCAUCCUGAAAUCACCAUUAAUUUUCUCAAGCACGCGUAUUUCUCAUGCUAAACCAGUUUAAAUGGCUUAUUAAAGGACAGACCCAGUGCACAAAAGCUUAAAGCACAAAAUUGGAACUACUGUACGGAAGACAGCAAAACAAACUAGGUACGGACCGUAUAAGCCAGCUGAACUAACCUUGUUCUGUAGGUAAGUUACUGUUUCCAUCAUCAUCCUGUGUUGAUGUAUGAUCCUCAAGUGAGCCCCUGUUCUUCUCAUCGAUGUCUUCAUUUGCAGCAGAGAUUUUUCUUUGAUCUGAAGCCAUUUGAUCAUCUCCACCAUUAAAAAUGACAGGGGCCUUUAACACCUCUGACAUAUCUACAUGCUUAGUGCCAUCCUUCUCCUUAUCUAACAUAAACAGAAUAAUGAAUGGUCGAUAAUCGCAUUAGAGUGGUUACUGAACUCCAGAUUACAUUGCACUGAAUUCUAACUAGAAGUUAACUUGUAUAGAAAUUUUGCCUAUUAAAUCUCUAGAAUUAGUACCUCAUACGGGAUCACCAUGUCCAAACUUUUCGUAUUAAACCAUGAUUCACAUAAUACGCAUUACAGUACAAAAAUAAAAUUAUAGUAUGUACGAUAUCAGUCGGCUGAACUAACCUUGUUCUGUAGGUAAGUUUUUAUUCCCAUCAUCAUCUUCUGUUGAUGUGUGAUCCAGAGGUGAGACCCUAUUCUUCUCAUCUAAGCUUUCAUUUGCAGCGGACAAUUUUGUUUGAUCUGAAGCCAUUUUCUUAUCUCCACUACUAGAGAUGAAGGGGGCCUUUAAUACCUCCAGCAUAUCUACAUCCUUAGUGCCAUCCUUCUCCGUAUCUAACAUAAACAGAACAAUGAAUCAGCGACCAUAGCUUUAUAGUGGUGAGUUUUUAGUAAGAGCCAGUAUGACAUGAUUCCAUCAAAUAUUCGUUGAAUUUAUGCCUGCUAAAUAUCCAUACAGGACAAAUAUCGUGAAACAGAGGUAGUACCUUUCUCACUAUUUAUGUUGUUGAGCUCAUGUGAAUAAUCUGCGUUGGCCAUGGUUUUGUCGAAAUCCUUAGCACUCUCCUCUGAUAGUAGAAUUGCAUAAGAAGGUGGUUAGCAAAAUAUUUAGGCUCAUUCCUAGAAAGCAGACAGUAUUUAGCAACAUGCAUACCUUGUUGACCGAUAACGUUGUUGUUGCCCAUCUCAUUACCCAUUACUCAGUCCAAGCUCUUUAGGCACUAAGACCAAUGAGAACAGUCUUUAACUCAGCUCAAGCUCAAGCACAAUCUACAAUACACUUAUAGCCUAUUAUAAGCCAUGGGAAGGUGCAAGUGAGCACUACAGACCAUGAUGGUGGUGGCCACCACAAGAUUAGCUAGAAAGGGUGCAACUAGACAGCACAAUUUUCCUGUGAGCCUCCUAAUAAUUUUAAUGCAGGGAGCACAUCAUAGGGACAUGUUUUUUGGGUCAUUGUUUCCUCUUUUUAUCAUUUAAGAAGGGUCAAGGAAACUAAAGUUGGAGAUCUGGUCAGAUGGCCCAAUGAUAGUUGCAUUACAUCUUUCAUGAAUGACUGAAUUGUUUUAAGCGUACACCUGUACUGCAAUGGGGCAGGAAACCUGAAACCUUCUAUACGGAAACCAUAAUCGUUCCGUCACAUUGGGUGCUGACUUGAUGGUUCUAGGUUUUAUUUCUGUCGCAUUGGUUGCAUGAUCUACGUAACACUUAGGUUUGUUCUUAAAGAUUUCAGGUCCUGAAGUCAUUGUUGAAGACAUGGAUUGAACCGGCUUACGAAGCACGGAGAGAAGAAUUUCUUUCCAUUUUGCUAUGCAUAACAAUGCGCGCGCGCGAUUCCACGGAAACUUCCGACUUUAUUCAGGUGGAUAAAACCUCGACAUGUGGAGAGCAUGCGCGCGCGAGAUUCCACAGAAACUUCCGACUUUCUUCUUAGGAGGAUAAAACCUUGACAUGUGGAGAGCUGCCUGAUAACAAAAAUUCAGUGAAGCUAGACCUGUAUCUAAUUCUACCAGUCAAGCUUUCGGCGCAUCUUAA